UACGUAGGGGGCGAGCGUUGUUCGGAAUCACUGGGCGUAAAGGGCGCGUAGGCGGCCCUCCUUGUCGCGUGUGAAAGCCCCGGGCUCAACCUGGGAACGGCGCGCGAGACGGGGGGGCUGGAGUUCGGGAGAGGAGCGUGGAAUUCCCAGUGUAGAGGUGAAAUUCGUAGAUAUUGGGAAGAACACCGGUGGCGAAGGCGGCGCUCUGGACCGAGACUGACGCUGAGGCGCGAAAGCGUGGGGAGCAAACAGG
rnacentral:rRNA from 1 species